GACAGCAGUGAUGCCAGUCCACAUCUCAAACACACACGUAACUAAAGACAUGAUCACAGAUCCAGCAGAAGCUGAAGUCAGCAGGACGGCUGGAUUAUUAUUCAGAGUGAUUGUGAUUAUUGUUGAGUUUGCAGCGUUUGCUGCUCCUACUGUGAUUCUUCUUCAG